AUGAACGCUGGCGGCGUGCCUAACACAUGCAAGUCGAACGUGAACCCGAUUUCGGUUGGGUGAAAGUGGCGAACGGGUGAGUAACACGUUGGUGACCUGCCCCGAAGCGGGGGAUAACUCUGGGAAACCAGAGCUAAUACCCCAGAUGUUUGAGGGUUUAGACGCCUCAAACUAAAACUCCGGUGCUUUGGGAGGGGCCUGCGGGCUAUCAGCUAGUUGGUGGGGUAAAGGCUCACCAAGGCGAAGACGGCUAGGGGGCGUGAGAGCGUGACCCCCCACAAGGGAACUGAGAAACGGUCCCUACUCCUACGGGAGGCAGCAGUGAGGAAUAUUGAGCAAUGGGCGCAAGCCUGACUCAGCAACGCCGCGUGGAUGAUGACGGCCUUCGGGUUGUAAAAUCCUUUUCUGGGGGAAGAUAAUGACGGUACCCCAGGAAUAAGUUCCGGCUAACUACGUGCCAGCAGCCGCGGUAAAACGUAGGGGACAAGCGUUAUCCGGAUUUACUGGGCGUAAAGCGCAUGUAGGUGGCCUUUCAAGUUGGACGUGAAAGCUCCCGGCUUAACUGGGAGAGGUCGUUCAAAACUGGGAGGCUUGAGGAUGGAACAGGAGAGCGGAAUUCCCGGUGUAGUGGUGGAAUGCGUAGACAUCGGGAGGAACACCAGUGGCGAAAGCGGCUCUCUGGUCCAUAACUGACACUGAGAUGCGAAAGCGUGGGGAGCGAACGGGAUUAGAUACCCCGGUAGUCCACGCUGUAAACGAUGGAUACUAGGUGUAGGCGGUCAUUAACCCCGUCUGUGCCGAAGCCAACGCGUUAAGUAUCCCGCCUGGGGACUACGGCCGCAAGGUUAAAACUCAAAGGAAUUGACGGGGGCCCGCACAAGCAGCGGAGCGUGUGGUUUAAUUCGAUGAUACGCGAAGAACCUUACCUGGGUUUGACAUAUAGGUAGUAGUCCGGUGAAAGCCGGACGACCCUUCGGGGAGCCUAAACAGGUGCUGCAUGGCUGUCGUCAGCUCGUGUCGUGAGAUGUUGGGUUAAGUCCCGCAACGAGCGCAACCCUCGUCGUUAGUUACAAGUGUCUAACGAGACUGCUGGUUUCAAACCGGAGGAAGGUGGGGAUGACGUCAAGUCAGCAUGGUCUUUAUAUCCAGGGCUACACACGUACUACAAUGCUCAGUACAGAUGGACCGAAACCGCAAGGUGGAGCUAAUCCCUAAAAGCCGAGUCUCAGUUCAGAUUGUAGGUCUGCAACUCGCCGGCAUGAAGUUGGAAGUCGCUAGUAACUGCGCAGUCAGCAUACGGCGCCGUGAAUAGCGUUCCCGGGCCUUGUACACACCGCCCGUCACAUCAUGGAAGCUCGUUGUAACACCUGAAGUGGCUCGUGACUCACCGUAAGGAAGGAAUGCCUAAGGUGGAUCGGUGACUGGAAGU
rnacentral:rRNA from 1 species